GCCCGUAUAGCUCAGUGGUAGAGCGUCACUCUUGUAAAGUGAAGGUCUAGUGUUCAAUCCACUAUGGGGGCA